AAAUAGUUAGUUUAAAAAAAACAUUUGAUUUCGACUCAGAAGCUUGUGGUUAAACUCCACAACCAUUUA
rnacentral:tRNA from 1 species